ACGCUCGACACCUACUGGAGGCAGCAGUGGGGGAUAUUGCACAAUGGAGGAAACUCUGAUGCAGCGACGCCGCGUGAGGGAAGACGGUUUUCGGAUUGUAAACCUCUGUCUUCAGGGACGAAAUGAAUGACGGUACCUGAGGAGGAAGCUCCGGCUAACUACGUGCCAGCAGCCGCGGUAAUCUGAGCGGGCUGGCAAGGC
rnacentral:rRNA from 1 species